GACGAACGCUGGCGGCGUGCCUAAUACAUGCAAGUGGGACGCAAGGGAACACACUGUGCUUGCACACCGUGUUUUCUUGAGUCGCGAACGGGUGAGUAACGCGUAGGUAACCUGCCUAUUAGCGGGGGAUAACUAUUGGAAACGAUAGCUAAUACCGCAUAAUAUUAAUUAUUGCAUGAUAAUUGAUUGAAAGAUGCAAGCGCAUCACCAGUAGAUGGACCUGCGUUGUAUUAGCUAGUUGGUAAGGUAAGAGCUUACCAAGGCGACGAUACAUAGCCGACCUGAGAGGGUGAUCGGCCACACUGGGACUGAGACACGGCCCAGACUCCUACGGGAGGCAGCAGCAGGGAAUCUUCGGCAAUGGACGAAAGUCUGACCGAGCAACGCCGCGUGAGUGAAGAAGGUUUUCGGAUCGUAAAGCUCUGUUGUAAGUCAAGAACGUGUGUGAGAGUGGAAAGUUCACACAGGACGUAGCUACCAGAAG
rnacentral:rRNA from 1 species